rnacentral:lncRNA from 1 species
CCGACCGGACUGCUGGAUUCCGCCGUUGGCGGGGCGAGCAGGAGGCGCCGUCUUGGUGGGCGGCCUCGACUAGGCGGACGCCGCCUUCUUCUCCCAGCGCGAGCACCGCUACUGCGGCUGCUUCUGGGCGCCGCUGUGGGCGGCUUCCUCCGUGGAGCUGGUCGGAGCUGGUGGCCGGCCCAUGGUGGAAGACCUUCAUCCGCCAAUUCCGCCGCAGCAGUCCGCGCCACGGGGCCGCCAGCACUGGUGCCGGCGUUGCAGCCGAUGGACGCGGGCGUGGAGGCGGAGCCCUGCCGGGAGUGCGAGUGCCAGGACCGGUCCUCGGUGUCGGCGAAGCGCUGGCUCCGCUCCUCCUCGUUCGAGCUCAGUCUUCAUCCAAUAAUUUGCAUCACUCAACAACCAUCAGCAACCUGAAGACUGAGUUCGUGCAGCUGUUCAGUUCGUUUCAGUUGUGCUAAUGUGCUAGCUUGACUGACGCGCCGUCCAUAGCAGUGCAUAGGAGCAGCAGAACAAACGCAAUGACACUUG